rnacentral:lncRNA from 1 species
CUUAACAGCUGGAUCUGCCUCCUUCCCACCCUGACAUUUCCUCCCAGGGAGAAGGGAGGAGGAGGAGGUGCAUCGGAGGGAGGUAAGCGGUCUUGGGACCUCUUCUGACCUUUGUGUUGCUUUUUUCCCACUGCGUCCAUAUUUCCUAACAUCCCGGGGAGGUUGGAUGUGGGAACCUCAGAACUGCUUCACUCUUGAGAAACUUGUCUCGAGUCACAGUGGUUGAACCAGACUCCGAGACAGCCUUCCCUCCACUCUGACCCUCCACAUUCCUUCCCACAGGCCCAUAUCCACAUUAUUAAGAAAGUAAUACACAAAUUUAUUUUCAAGGUUUAUUAAAUCAGUUAGGUAAACUAAGAAACAGUUCGUCUCCAUUGAAUUUGGAGGGCAGCCACAGGAAAAUGAGGUUUCAAGGUAGAAAAUAUGCUAUUUGGAGCGCCCCUGGUGGUGUUUCUUCCCACUGCAGGGACACUCGUGACCCCUGUACACAACCAGGGCUUAAUUAACCCUUAUUCAUCUCUCGCCAGAGAUGUGUCCAUGUCUUAGAGUUGGCUUUUCCUUAGGCAGACCACCUAGAAAGCAAAAGGUAGAACCAGGAUUGAUUUUGAGCCUGGAAUUGAAUGUCUGAGUCAAAAGAAAAAGUGGCUCCCCCCACCUCCCGCCCCAACUCUUGGGAGUUCUGUUUUUUUCUCAGUAAGUCUUUGCUCACUGUGCUAAAAAAUAAAUAAAUAGAUAAAAAUUAAAAAUAAAGCACACACCUUUAUUUGCAACACUUGGGAGGCAGAGGCAGGAGUGGAAGUCAAAACCCUUGAUGAAAUCCAGCUAUAAAAUAGGACUUGGGCUGGAAGGAUGAGAUGGGGCUUACCAGCAAAGGCACUUGACACCAAUCUAAGGGCUUGAGUAGAAGUCCCCAAAGCCACUGAGCUCCCGAAACUUGUCCUCUGACCUCCAAAUGGGUCGUAUGCCGUGUGCAGCAAACGCGCUCACACACACAAUAGAAAGAAAUAAAUGUGAAGGAAGUUCUAGAACUUCGGUGCUGGGGACACGGCUCAGUGUGUAAAGCGCUGAUUUCACAUGCCCAGCGCCUAUGUGAGGUCACACUUACAAUCCUAAGGCUGGUGGGGAGAAAGACAAGAGGACCCCUGGAGACCUGCAGCCAGCCAGGCUAGCCAGGGUUGGUUUACCAAGACUCUGCCUCAUAGAGUAGACAAUGACAGAAAACAGUGACUGUGUGCACACACACAUGCACUCAUGCACACACCCAUGUCCCUGAGAACCACCCUUAAACUGUCCCUAGUCCGGUGGAGGUAGCAAGUGUCAUAGCCCCACAACCCUCGUUUCCAGUGUGCCCUGGAGUCUCCAGAGACCAGGCAGUCCCCAGGGGCUACUAUGCUCCCAGCAAGCAUCCAGAAGACAUUUCUGAAGAGAGACCCCUCCCCCCUCCCGCUCACAUUCGGAGACCGUUGCUGACUUACUCGGGAUGGCAGACUUGCCGAUGACAGCAUCACCACCCUCCACUCUCGGGCUCUUGACACUCUGGGCAAUCCCAGUUCUCACUGCAGACCCAGUGAGGUAGCAGGCAAGCAGCCCAAGGCUGAGAGAGCUUAAGACACUUACCUUAGGCCACACUCAGUAAUUCCCCAAUCCAACAGUGCUUACGAUUUCCACCAUCCUCCCGAGUCCCACCCAACAAGGCUCCCGCCAACCCCACCCGCACAGUGGCUUUCCCAUGGGGGGAAGAAUAGUGAGCCUUCCUCUCUAUGUUUUGUGACAAUAAUAAAGCACUGGACCUUU